AUUCUUCCUGCAACAAUUGAGCCACGUCAGCCAGAGUGCUGUAUUCUUCGAACCGACGAUAGACAAAUCGGUUUUGCUGGUCCCAAAAAAUUUCAAUUGGGUUGAGAUCUCGCGAGUUCGCAGGUCACAUCAUUCUCAUUCUGAGAAGAUGAUGCCUUGAAGUUAUCAAGAAGUGUGGUGGUUACACUCAUUAUAUUUAAUAAAUCAUUGAUGAAAC